UUUUGUUUUUAUGUAUGUUACAUCAGAACUUUUGACCGGGUAGACCGAUUUCGACAAAUUUUGUUUUAAUCGAAAGGUGGUGUGUGCCGAUUGGUCCCAUUUAAAUUUAUUUGAGAUCUAACAACUACUUUUCGAGUUAUAUGUGAUAAUGCGUUUUUACUUGACGCUUUUUUCGUCGACCUACGUUGUAUUAUACCGCAUAACUUUCUACUGGAUGUACCGAUUUUGAUAAUUCUUUUUUUGUUGGAAAGGGGAUAUCCUUAGUUUGGUACCAUGAUAAGGAAACCAGGAUCUGAUGAUGGGAUCCCAGAUAAAUCGAG
rnacentral:misc_RNA from 1 species